AGGGGUGUGGCUGAGUGGUAGAGCAUCUGCUUCGAAUGCAGAAGGUCCCAGGUUCAAUCCCCGGCAUCUCCA